rnacentral:rRNA from 1 species
AUUGAACGCUGGCGGCAGGCCUAACACAUGCAAGUCGAGCGAGCGGCGGACGGGUGAGUAAUGUAUGGGGACUGCCCGCUAGAGGGGGAUAACUACUGGAAACGGUAGCUAAUACCGCAUACUAUCGGAUAACCCAUAUGGGAUGAGCUAGUAGGUGGGGUAAUGGCUCACCUGGGCGACGAUCCCUCGCUGGUCUGAGAGGAUGAUCAGCCACACGGGGACUGAGACACGGCCCAGACUCCUACGGAGGCAGCAGAGGGGAAAAUUGCACAAUGGGCGCAAGCCUGAUGCAGCCAUGCCGCGUGUGUGAAGAAGGCCCUGGGGUUGUAAAGUACUUUCAGCCGGGAGGCGUUACCGGCAGAAGAAGCACCGGCUAACUCCGUGCCAGCAGCCGCGGUAAUAC